UACGGGGGGGGCAAGCGUUGUUCGGAAUUACUGGGCGUAAAGGGCUCGUAGGCGGCCAACUAAGUCAGACGUGAAAUCCCUCGGCUUAACCGGGGAACUGCGUCUGAUACUGGAUGGCUUGAGUUUGGGAGAGGGAUGCGGAAUUCCAGGUGUAGCGGUGAAAUGCGUAGAUAUCUGGAGGAACACCGGUGGCGAAGGCGGCAUCCUGGACCAA
rnacentral:rRNA from 1 species